ACGUAGGGUGCAAGCGUUAAUCGGAAUUACUGGGCGUAAAGCGUGCGCAGGCGGUUCGUUGUGUCGGCGGUGAAAGCCCCGGGCUCAACCUGGGAAUGGCCGUUGAAACUGGCGAACUGGAGUGUGGCAGAGGGGGGUGGAAUUCCUGGUGUAGCGGUGAAAUGCGUAGAUAUCAGGAGGAAUACCGGUGGCGAAAGCGACUCUCUGGACGGCAACUGACGCUGAGGCACGAAAGCGUGGGGAGCAAACAGGA
rnacentral:rRNA from 1 species